GAUGAACGCUGGCGGCGUGCCUAAUACAUGCAAGUCGAGCGAACGGACGAGAAGCUUGCUUCUCUGAUGUUAGCGGCGGACGGGUGAGUAACACGUGGAUAACCUACCUAUAAGACUGGGAUAACUUCGGGAAACCGGAGCUAAUACCGGAUAAUAUUUUGAACCGCAUGGUUCAAAAGUGAAAGACGGUCUUGCUGUCACUUAUAGAUGGAUCCGCGCUGCAUUAGCUAGUUGGUAAGGUAACGGCUUACCAAGGCAACGAUGCAUAGCCGACCUGAGAGGGUGAUCGGCCACACUGGAACUGAGACACGGUCCAGACUCCUACGGGAGGCAGCAGUAGGGAAUCUUCCGCAAUGGGCGAAAGCCUGACGGAGCAACGCCGCGUGAGUGAUGAAGGUCUUCGGAUCGUAAAACUCUGUUAUUAGGGAAGAACAUAUGUGUAAGUAACUGUGCACAUCUUGACGGUACCUAAUCAGAAAGCCACGGCUAACUACGUGCCAGCAGCCGCGGUAAUACGUAGGUGGCAAGCGUUAUCCGGAAUUAUUGGGCGUAAAGCGCGCGUAGGCGGUUUUUUAAGUCUGAUGUGAAAGCCCACGGCUCAACCGUGGAGGGUCAUUGGAAACUGGAAAACUUGAGUGCAGAAGAGGAAAGUGGAAUUCCAUGUGUAGCGGUGAAAUGCGCAGAGAUAUGGAGGAACACCAGUGGCGAAGGCGACUUUCUGGUCUGUAACUGACGCUGAUGUGCGAAAGCGUGGGGAUCAAACAGGAUUAGAUACCCUGGUAGUCCACGCCGUAAACGAUGAGUGCUAAGUGUUAGGGGGUUUCCGCCCCUUAGUGCUGCAGCUAACGCAUUAAGCACUCCGCCUGGGGAGUACGACCGCAAGGUUGAAACUCAAAGGAAUUGACGGGGACCCGCACAAGCGGUGGAGCAUGUGGUUUAAUUCGAAGCAACGCGAAGAACCUUACCAAAUCUUGACAUCCUUUGACAACUCUAGAGAUAGAGCCUUCCCCUUCGGGGGACAAAGUGACAGGUGGUGCAUGGUUGUCGUCAGCUCGUGUCGUGAGAUGUUGGGUCAAGUCCCGCAACGAGCGCAACCCUUAAGCUUAGUUGCCAUCAUUAAGUUGGGCACUCUAAGUUGACUGCCGGUGACAAACCGGAGGAAGGUGGGAAUGACGUCAAAUCAUCAUGCCCCUUAUGAUUUGGGCUACACACGUGCUACAAUGGACAAUACAAAGGGCAGCGAAACCGCGAGGUCAAGCAAAUCCCAUAAAGUCGUUCUCAGUUCGGAUUGUAGUCUGCAACUCGACUACAUGAAGCUGGAAUCGCUAGUAAUCGUAGAUCAGCAUGCUACGGUGAAUACGUUCCCGGGUCU
rnacentral:rRNA from 1 species